rnacentral:misc_RNA from 1 species
GGAAGAAGGGAGAGAGGGGAACAAAAAUAUAUGUAUUUAUACAAUUUUCUAUGAUAUAUACAAUUAGUGACAAUUUUUAUACACUUGUUGUAUAAAAGGUGAGGAGGCGAGCGAGAGAUUGGAGGAGAGUGGCGAGCGAGAUAUUUGGGAGAGAGGCGCCUAACAAUUUUUUGCAAACGUUUGCUAUGGAGCACAAUUAACUCAAAUCCUAGCUACUCCAUUUAUUUUAGGUUAUUAGUUUGCUAUUAUAUACAAUUUUC